rnacentral:rRNA from 1 species
AGUGAACGCUGGCGGUAUGCCUAACACAUGCAAGUCGAACGGCAGCACAGUAAGAGCUUGCUCUUACGGGUGGCGAGUGGCGGACGGUUGAGGAAUACAUCGGAAUCUACUUUUUCGUGGGGGAUAACGUAGGGAAACUUACGCUAAUACCGCAUACGACCUACGGGUGAAAGCAGGGGAUCUUCGGACCUUGCGCGAUUGAAUGAGCCGAUGUCGGAUUAGCUAGUUGGCGGGGUAAAGGCCCACCAAGGCGACGAUCCGUAGCUGGUCUGAGAGGAUGAUCAGCCACACUGGAACUGAGACACGGUCCAGACUCCUACGGGAGGCAGCAGUGGGGAAUAUUGGACAAUGGGCGCAAGCCUGAUCCAGCCAUACCGCGUGAGUGAAGAAGGCCUUCGGGUUGUAAAGCUCUUUCGUUAGGAAAGAAAAGCAGAACGUUAACAUAGCGCUGUAAUGACGGUACCCAAAGAAUAAGCACCGGCUAACUUCGUG